rnacentral:lncRNA from 1 species
GAGAAAAUGGUCUAAAACCCCCCCAACCUAUACCCGAAAUUCCAACUACACACUCCAACUUUACGGGUGUCCUAUUACCCACCUGAACUUUAUAAUUCUCUAUUUUAUACACACCUAAGUGCUGACCUGUCAUGGAAGGUGUUCUCACCUUCUCUAGGCGCGUUAGAAGGUGAAUUUUGACGAAAAUUUUCGAGAAAAUAGUCAUCUUCCCCAAUUAAUCAAUGAAAGGAUUCAAUUUCAAUUGACCUCCAUUAAUGGCAUUGCUAGUGCUUUCGUUUGUUCUCCCUCUUUUGCUGCUCGACCAUCAGCCACCGCUGUCGCCGCCUCCGGCGAAAUCCAAACCCGAUUGAAUUUGAUUUUUUUUUGUUCGUCCUUAUGAUUGAAGUUUUUAUUCUUCCAAUUACUGGAUUCAAAGCUCUUUCUGCCGAGUUUUGCCAUGGUUUCGAUCAUGUAUCGAAAUAAGAAAAAAAAAAUUGAUCAGUUUGAGUUAAUUGUCAAAACACAUUGAUUUUUUUUAAUUUCAUACUUACACUUUUUUUAAACUAUCAGCAAUUGUUUCUCGAAACACAUCUCAAUUAUCAAUAGUUUAGUUUUCUAUAUUAAACUCUUAUGUGUUUUCGACCUUUCACUCAAAUUUGCAAUUUUUUGUUAAAAUUUGGGCUUUUUUCUAUAUUCAAAAUCGAGAAAAUGGUCUAAAACCCCCCCAACCUAUACCCGAAAUCCCAACUACACACUCCAACUUUACGGGUGUCCUAUUACCCACCUGAACUUUAUAAUUCUCUAUUUUAUACACACCUAAGUGCUGACCUGUCAUGGAAGGUGUUCUCACCUUUUCUAGGCGCGUUAGAAGGUGAAUUUUGACGAAAAUUUCCGAGAAAAUAGUCAUCUUCCCCAAUUAAUCAAUGAAAGGAUUCAAUCUCAAUUGACCUCCAUUAAUGGCAUUGCUGGUGCUUUCGUUUGUUCUCCCUCUUUUGCUACUCGACCAUCAGCCACCACUGUCACCGCCUCCGGCGAAAUCCAAACCACCAACAAAGCCUCGUUCUCCUCUUCCUCUCUCCUCUUAUCUCUCUCCCAUUUCGAGACAACCACCAUAAAGACCUACCUCUAUUCUCACAACAAGAUUGACAACAACAACAACAACAAAACCUUGCGGCUGCACUUUCACCACACCAACAACAACAAAACCUUGCGGCUGCACUGCUCCAACCAACGAGCUCCGGCGAAGCAAGCAAAACAGAUCGAUCCUUUUAGAUUAUUUUUCAAUGUUCUCCGACAAGCAAAACUCGAAUAUCGCUUGACAAGCUCCCGCUAUCAAUAUUCAUCUUUGUUCCUCACAAUUCCAUAGGAAUUUGAAAAAAUUGGGGGAAGAAAUUACCUUAGAAAUUUUAAGAAAUUGGGAGAGUAUAGGAAAAAGUGGAAAGGAAUUAUAAAAAAAUUGAAAAAAAAUAAUAAAUUAAUUGAAUUUUCA